UCAACUGCAGUAGUUUUGACAACUGGAAGAAAUCUAACAAUGAUCUAACAUCUAUAUUGUAAUUUUGUGUAUUGGCCGAGCAUAUUUUCUUUCAAUCCAGAUUUACUUUAGGAUGACAUGUUGCAUUUAUACAGCUCCCCAACUUGUUUUGGUGUUUCAGGAGAAAAGUAUUCCAAUUCACCAGUGGUGUAUAACAUAUCUAUAAUUAUUUUACUCCUCCAUUGUUCCAGUUCUUAUCAUUAAGAUAUUUUCUCUUGUUGAUAGCAUGCAUUGAUUCAUUUGUAGACUUUCUUCAAUUCCUGUUACUAUGCGCUAUUAUACUUUCCUUGGUAGUCUUUUCUAGAAGGAGCCUAGGCCCCUUUUAGUGGGGAAGGGUAUUAGAAACUAAAUUUGAGUGGCAGAUGUGCUCACAGUGCUAUUUUUAUGAAAAAAUUUAUAGUGUCAAGAUAUCAAUCCACAAUUUCGAACAAUCAGUCCAGCACAAUUCCACUCAAAACACCAGCAAGAGCUUUGUUUCUAUAAACAAUUUUAUUUUAAAGUUUAUACAGAAAAGAUACAUCAAGCCACCUCAAUAUUGAUGAAGUGAGCCAAAGGAGCAGCUGUGUCUCACUUUAAAACUUAUGACAGAGCUUCAGUAAAAUAGAUAAUGUUACAUCAGUUUUGAAAAAGUGACUAGAUGAAAAGCAAGUGGAUAGAGAGCCUUGCAGCAUAGCCAAGUAACAACAUGGCUGGUUUAUAUAAUUAACCAAGAAGCAAUGCCAAUUCAGUGGAGAGCAACCCUUUAUCACUGUCCUUCAAAAGAGUAAUGUCCAUAUACUUCAGACACACACACCUUACAUCUAUAAAAAUUAAAAUGCUGUCUAUAAACAAAAUAUAGUUAUAAAGCUUUCACAGGAUAAUAGACAAGAAAAAGUCAGGUGUGUUUUAGUUAUGCUUCUACUGUGAUGGUAAAACAGCAUGAGAAAAAUCAACUCAAGGGGGGAAUGGUUUAUUUCACCUUACAGUUCACAGUCCACCAUCUAGGGGACUCAGGGAAGGAAUCUGCAGGCAAGAACUGAAAAUUCACAGUGGGGUCCUGCUUAAUAACUUGCUCCCCAUGGUUUGCUCAGCCUGCUUUCUUAUAGCACCCAGAACCAUCAGCCUAGAGAUCGCCCCACCCACAAUGGGCUGGGCCCUCCCCUAUCAAUCAAUUACUAAUCAAGAAAACACACUAUAGGCUUGUCCAUGGAGCAUUCUCGUAAAGUUAUUUUCUCAACUGAGAUUCUCUCUUUCCAAUUGACUCCAGAUUGGCACAAAACUAGCCUGCAUACCAGGUAACCUUGUUUUGCUUUUGUUUGUUUUAAUGUUUUAUAAUACAACACCAAAAGAGUGUUUCAUUAACCCGAUAAGGUAAUCUAACAGAUUGUGUUAAAAUGAAAACUCCUUGUGGUCAGAAGGUUCUCUAUGUGAAAAGCACUUGCUGAACAAUGUUUGAGAACAGCACUUUGCAUCUCUUGUUCCCAUGAAAACACUGAGUAGACAUGAGGUCACCUGUAAUCCAAUCAUCAGGAGGCAGAGGCAAGAUCCAGUGAGCAACCUGGCAGCUAGACUGGCCAAACCACAGAGCUCUGAGUUCAAAUGGGAGACCCCACCUCAAUACGUGAGCUGGAGGGUAAUGGAAAAGGACACCUUCCAUCCUCCUCCUCCCACCUGUAUGUGUACCACAUGCACAUGUAUCUUACAGAUACACCUCCAUACAUACUCAUGCUCACACACAAACACACACACAUGCAUAUCAGACACAUGUACAGGCAGUAAGGAUACUGAGAAAAGGGACUUCUGUUUGCUGCUGGGGGAAAUAAAAAUGGUACAGAG
rnacentral:lncRNA from 1 species